rnacentral:rRNA from 1 species
GAUGAACGCUAGCUACAUGCUUAACACAUGCAAGUCGAGCGGAAACGCCAUUCAAGUUUGCUUCGAUCGUCUUCGACCGGCGUAAGGGUCACUAACGUGUCCCCAACCUGCCUCUGACCUAGCUUUAAGCCGCCGAAACUCGGCCCAAUACCUUACUCCUUCGUCGGAAGUCAUCUGAUGACGAUGCAACAUUUCAUCGGUGAGACGUGGGGAUGCGUCUGAUUGGCUUGUUGGCGGGGUACCGGCCCACCAAGGCAUCGAUCAGUAGGGGUUCUGAGAGGAGGGUCCCCCAGAGUGGAACUGAGACACGGUCCAAAGUCAUACGGGAGGCAGCAGUGAGGAAUACUGGUGAGUGGACGAGAGCCUGAACCAGCGAAGUAGCGUGCAGGAUGACGGCCCUAUGGGUUGUAAACUGCUUUUAUGCGGGGAUAAAGUGAGGGACGUGUCCUUCAUUGCAGGUACCGGAUGAAUAAGGACCGGCUAAUUCCGUG